rnacentral:rRNA from 1 species
UGGGGAAUAUUGCACAAUGGGCGCAAGCCUGAUGCAGCCAUGCCGCGUGUAUGAAGAAGGCCUUCGGGUUGUAAAGUACUUUCAGUCGGGAGGAAGGUGGUAAGGUUAAUAACCUUGGCAAUUGACGUUACCGACAGAAGAAGCACCGGCUAACUCCGUGCCAGCAGCCGCGGUAAUACGGAGGGUGCAAGCAUUAAUCGGAAUUACUGGGCGUAAAGCGCACGCAGGCGGUUUGUUAAGUCAGAUGUGAAAUCCCCGGGCUCAACCUGGGAACUGCAUCUGAUACUGGCAAGCUUGAGUCUCGUAGAGGGGGGUAGAAUUCCAGGUGUAGCGAUGAAAUGCGUAGAGAUCUGGAGGAAUACCGGUGGCGAAGGCGGCCCCCUGGACGAAGACUGACGCUCAGGUGCGAAAGCGUGGGGAGCAAACAGG